rnacentral:rRNA from 1 species
GCCAUGCCGCGUGUGUGAAGAAGGUCUUCGGAUUGUAAAGCACUUUAAGUUGGGAGGAAGGGCAGUAAGUUAAUACCUUGCUGUUUUGACGUUACCGACAGAAUAAGCACCGGCUAACUCUGUGCCAGCAGCCGCGGUAAUACAGAGGGUGCAAGCGUUAAUCGGAAUUACUGGGCGUAAAGCGCGCGUAGGUGGUUCGUUAAGUUGGAUGUGAAAGCCCCGGGCUCAACCUGGGAACUGCAUCCAAAACUGGCGAGCUAGAGUACGGUAGAGGGUGGUGGAAUUUCCUGUGUAGCGGUGAAAUGCGUAGAUAUAGGAAGGAACACCAGUGGCGAAGGCGACCACCUGGACUGAUACUGACACUGAGGUGCGAAAGCGUGGGGAGCAAACAGGAUUAGAAACCCUUGUAGUCCAGACCAAGUCUNGGCCU